rnacentral:rRNA from 1 species
AAAGCUCGUAGUCGAACUUCGGCCUUUGCUGGUCGGUCCGCCUUUUGGUGUGUACUGAUCUAGCGAAGGCUUACCUCUUGGUGAACUGCGAUGCCCUUUAUUGGGUGUUGUAGGGAACCAAGACUUUUACUUUGAAAAAAUUAGAGUGUUCAAAGCAGGCCUACGCCCGAAUACAUUAGCAUGGAAUAAUAGAAUAGGACGCGCACUCCUAUUUUGUUGGUUUCUAGGAGCGCCGUAAUGAUUAAUAGGGAUAGUUGGGGGCAUUUGUAUUACAGCGUCAGAGGUGAAAUUCUUGGAUUGCUGUAAGACAAACUACUGCGAAAGCAUUUGCCAAGGAUGUUUUCAUUGAUCAAGAACGAAGGUUAGGGGAUCAAAAACGAUCAGAUACCGUUGUAGUCUUAACAGUAAACUAUGCCGACUGGGGAUCGGACAAGGCUUUAUCAUGACUUGUUCGGCACCU